UUUGCAUAUUUGUAUAUUUCUUAUUUAUACUGAUUUAUUGCAACGACUCCUGGGUAGAUGGACGGAGGGCUCGGGAAUGGAGCGCACGGUAUUGGAAGCUUUCGACGGAGCCGCGACCAGAGUCGAAUCGGUCGUCGAGGGCGACCCGAUCAUCGAAGGCGACGUUAGUGAUCACAUGGGUGGUGCAGGAUGUUGAUACGUGUCAAUUGUUGGCCGACAUAUGCUACCUACACUGCUUAAGUAGGUAAAAGUAUGCAACCAAAUUACUAUAUAAAAAUUAGUUUAAUUUAAAAAAAUUCAAAAAUAAUGAGGUCACUUGGAUUUGUGGUUUACAAGUUGCAGAUAAUCAAAGUUUGAUAGAAUUACUAUCUUCUUUCAAACAAAAAAAGAAGGGCUACGUCGAUCACAUAUUUUAGUAAUUUUUUUUUGCCUGGACAUAUUUAAGUAAUACUAUACGCUAUCAGACAUUUAAAAAAAAAGUAAUAUACGCUAUCUGGUGGAGCGCGUCCGCGUCCGCGCGAUGGAUCAGACGCCCUGGUCUGUCUGGUGGGUUGCGCCGCGCGAGAUCUCCUCCUCCCUUUCCUUCGAUCCUUUUUUUGCUCCUUUUUUCCCACGAUCCUUUUCCUCUUUCUUUUUCACGCGCCGGACCCUGGUCCUUAAAAAAACCAUAGCGACCCGAGUCGUACCUCGAUCCCUGUUCCGCCGCCGCGCGACCCGAGCGCUGGCCGCAUCCAGCAGCCACAUCAUGGCGGCGCGACGAAGCAGCCCACGCCAGCGCCUCCCUGCCGCUCCCCUCUCCCUCUAACCUUGCUCCGCCACCCGCCGCUCGGCGCCUUCCGCCCGUCGGCCUCCUCCUCCCUGGAUCUCGGCUGGUCGAUCCUGCAGCAGCUCUCACUGGAUCUCAGCUGGAUCAGACGCCCUGCAGUAGCUCUCCCCUGGUCAACCGCCCCUUUGCUCAGCGCCGCCCGGACUGGCUCGCCUGCCUCCCUUGCGACCAUCGAGCUCGACUGACUUGCGGCUAAUACCUCCAGAACAACAAUAGACUGGCUUUACGGAGAUAAGGCAAAAAUGACACGAGAUAAGAGCUGGAUGGACAAGGAAAGAGAUUCUGUUGAGUGGCAAACUGGCAUGAAUGAUUUCUUGAAUUUUGCCUUCGAUGGUGCUCACCCAGACUCAACAGUCCCAUGCCCAUGUAGGAGAUGUCUCAAUAUUGUUCAGAAAAAGAAAAGGGAUGUUCAUAGUGACUUGCUGUUCAAUGGGAUGGAUCCAACCUACACUCACUGGAUAUACCAUGGUGAACAAUCGGAUGAGGGAAGCAUGUCUGAAGAUUCUGAUAAUGAAGACGCUGUAGAUGAUGGUGCUGGGGUAUGUGACAUGCUCAAUACUCUCAUAAGGGGCACAAACAUGCAAAGCAAUGCAAACAUUGGUGAAGGUGUGGGAGACAUUCAUGUGGAUGAUUCCAGCGGUGAUGAAAGGAACCAGGAGCCAAAUGCAACAGCUAAGGUCUUCUUCGAACUAUUGAAAGAGGCAAAAAAAUAGUUGUACCCAGGUUGCAAGGAUUUCACGAAGUUAUCUUUCAUUGUGAAGCUUUACCAAAUCAAGUGCGUGUCUGGGAUGACCAAUAGAGCAUGUGACUUACUUCUGCAGAUGUUCACGCAGGUGUUGCCAAAGGGCCACUACAUUCCUACAAAUCUCGGAAAAGUAAGGAAGGUGAUCCGAGAUCUUGGGCUGGACUACAAGAAGAUACACGCUUGUGCUGUCAUUUUGAUACACGAGAUACAAUCUAUACAAGUAUGGCUGCUGAAACUUGUGUGCUGUGAUUUUGAAACAUGUGUUAUAUAUCUCGUUGAGAUGGUUUGUUAUAUCCUACUAAAAUCUUGUGUCAUAUGUCCUUAUAUAUAUAUCUUGAUGUAGUGUUGUUGA